GAUCUUUUUGCGGUCUGGGCUUGCUGUUUUUAUGGUCGCCAGCAAGCCCUUACCCCAAAAAGGAUCCGCGGG
ensembl:miRNA